CGCAGCUGGCCAGUGGUGGCUUUGCGGGCAGGCAAGGGAGCUGUCCUCUCGGGCUCCAACUAGGCCGGGUGGUCGCGGGGAGCGUCCCCGCCCCGCUCCCUUCGCUCCCGCCUCUCGCGGCUCUGGUGCUCCUUAGCGCCCGCCCCCGACUCCGCCCGCCGCCGCCGCCGCCGCCGCAGCCCCUCGCGCUAACUAACGGUCGGUAGCGGCCCGCGCGCGCCGCCCGCCGGGGGCUCGCGCCAGCCACGAGGGAGCGUCCGCGGCCCGCGCGCCCGCGCGGCGGAGGCGAGAAUCCGCAGUUCAUAAUGGAGCUAACUGUACUGGCUGUCGGAAGGAGGAGAUUCUGAAGAUAGGGAGAUUCAGCUGUCGGUCUUUGAAAUUUCCUGUGGUCUGUUCAACCUGGAUGCAAAGGACAUGGAGCAGUCAAGUACGCAAGAGGUCCAAGCGUGUUUUGGGUGUUCCCCUUGAUAGACUGCGGUAUUUUUCCGGUUAAGACCUUCAGCUGUCAUGCAGAAGAAGGUUAUUCUCUUCUUGGUCCAUCCAUUUUACUUGAAAUGCUUAGUAUUGUAGAGUAUCACCAAACAGUUUCUGUUUUCAUCCGAGCAUAGAGAGAAUAAAAUCAAUUCUGUACGUUGA